CCUAAAUUGUAUAUAAAAUAAACACAUAACAAUUCAUUCUGUGCUAUUUUUCAAUGUGAGUCAGUGAGUGACCGGUGACUGGCUGCUGCAGCCAAUGAUGCGAUUCACAUACGUAUUUACCAUAGACUGUAUAUAAUGGUAUUUACGCAGCUAAUCAAUGUCAUGCAUCCUUAUGUGCAGCCACCGUUGUUCUCAUAGAUAUGAAUGAGUAGAUAGGACACGCCCCUUUGAGCUGCGUGCUACUGCGAGGCUAAGCUAAUGGGGCAAAGGUUCAGUGCAUUCUGUUGAUGUAAACGGUGUGAAAACGGAAACAAGAGGUAUGCCGGCUCACUGUGCUGCAUACAAUUACACACUGCGUCGUACGAUUGACACAAGGAAACUUGGAAUGACUUUUCAUAGGUUUCCCAGAGACUAUGGGUUGAGGAGGAAUUGGAAGUUUGUCGGCUUAGACCUGGUGUCAUUCCAUCAGUGUUUAACUUCCCGGCUCAUCUUGGAAGAGUACGUGCCAGAAAGACCACGACCAAGCAGCCUUGAGAUCUUAGACAGCGUCUCCUUCUGGUCCCUCUCUAUCUCCCCACACAUCCACCAACCACUGGAACACAUCUCCAAAGUUCUGCCGGGCCAGCUCAGCUUCCCCUCAGAAGAAGUGCCGCCACCUGCCAGAUGAAGGAGUCUUUUGAGAGGCAGCUGGCAUCAUGAUUGGACUGUACUUUGGUCUGUUCCAAUCCAGCUUCAGCUCCAGAGACGGCAGGUGGGACGAGUCAACGGAGGCCGGGUGGACGAAGACCAAAGAACUACAGACUCUUCACAACCUGCUCAAACUCUUGGUACAGGACCUCACCACACGGGUCAAGAAGGUUUCCGUCUCAUUUCUACUCUGAAGCUCACCUUCUCCUGCUCAAACUGCUGACAAAUGUUUCUGCUGCUCUAAAGUCUGCUCUCCAGAACUUCCUAAAAACUCUCAAAGUCUCUUCUGCU
ensembl:lncRNA